UACGGAGGAUCCGAGCGUUAUCCGGAUUUAUUGGGUUUAAAGGGUGCGCAGGCGGGAGAUUAAGUCGGCGGUGAAAUUUUGCAGCUCAACUGUAAAAGUGCCUUCGAAACUGGUUUCCUUGAGUGUAGAUGAAGUAGGCGGAAUUUGUGGUGUAGCGGUUAAAUGCAUAGAUAUCACGAGGAACUCCGAUUGCGCAGGCAGCUUACUAAACUACUACUGACGCUCAGGCACGAAGGCGUGGGGAUCAAACAGGAUUAGAUACCCUGGUAGU
rnacentral:rRNA from 1 species